UGAGUAACACGCAUCCAACCUGCCGUCUACUCUUGGCCAGCCUUCUGAAAGGAAGAUUAAUCCAGGAUGGCAUCAUGAGUUCACAUGUCCGCAUGAUUAAAGGUAUUUUCCGGUAGACGAUGGGGAUGCGUUCCAUUAGAUAGUAGGCGGGGUAACGGCCCACCUAGUCAACGAUGGAUAGGGGUUCUGAGAGGAAGGUCCCCCACAUUGGAACUGAGACACGGUCCAA
rnacentral:rRNA from 1 species